CAUAUCUCUGCAUGCAUCACCUAGAUGUUGUGACUCUUCUUUUCUACCUGCACCCUGCCAACAGGAAGGAUUGUGACAUAUCGCUGGGCUUAGCAACUAGGAAAGAUUGUGGCAUAUUACUGAACUAAGCAACCUAGUGACGUGUCUCUUCUGACUGGGGCUUGCCCACAGAGACAACUGUGACAUAGCACUGAGCCCAGGACCCAGGUGAUGUGACUCUGCUGCCUGUUUCCAACAUUCAUGAGAGGAUGGUAACUAUCCCUUGCCAAGAACUCAGGUGAUUUGACUGUCCUGCCUUGUUGCUGCCCUCAGAGAAGAUUGUGAUAUAUCUUCAGCCCCAAACCCAGGUAAUGUGACUUCCCUGCUUACUCCCUAUUCAGAGGAGAAAUUAUUACAUAUAACCUGGCCCAGCUCACAGGUUUGAUGACAAUUCUCAUACCUCAAACAAGCCAAUAGAAGAGAUACUGUCUCUCUCAGCGAGGCUUAGGAAAACUGGUAAAAUACCUGUGUCUCCUCUUUGUAUGAAGGUCAUAGAGAACUACCACGUGCUUUGUAUAUGGCAUAAAGCUCUUGAGUGGUACAGUGGUACAGAGAGUGUCCACAUGUCCUAAAACAAAGGGGAUAUUGUGUUUCUUGUAUACACACCCAGACACCUGUUAGGAUUGUCACCCUAACACCUGGAUACAGACCAUUGGUGAGGUCUUGUGUCUCACAUGCAGAUGCAAUCCACAGUUUGAUUCCUGACUGUCAAAUGUAAACACCUGUCCAAAGUUGGGAUGGUGACUCAUUUCUAAACCCAGCUCAUAGACAAGUGAGGACUCUUCUGUCUGGCCCAGUUAAUCCGAGAAAUAUUAACUUUUCUACCUGGGCUUAGGGAGCAGCAUAAAGGUCUCGGGGCAAAUUGUGGCUCUCAUUCCUAGUCUACAAUGAUCUUGGGUAGUAUUAAAUGUCCUAACGGGGUUCAGCGCACAGGUGAGAUUGUGACAGUGAUAUCCACACCCAACUGACAGUAAAACUUGCCAUCUUUCCUCAUGGAUACAGCCCACUGUUGAGGUGUUGAAUCUCAUAACCAAAGGCAGUUGAAAAUUAAAACAUUGUCUCUCAUUGGUAGACCCAGUCCACAGGGGGGUUGGUGACUCUCAGACCAAAAUUCAGCACAGUUAUGAGGUCGUCACUCCACUAAGAAAACGGAAUUCCCAGAACAAAUUGAGACUGUCAUGCACAAAUCCAGCCCACCACUGAGAUUGUGACUCAUUUACUUAGACCCAACAUAUAGGAAGUGUUGACUCUUAUACCUAGAAUUGGGACAUGUGUAAGAUUGUUCAUCUUUUCCUCAGACUUUCCUGCAGGAGUGAUGCUGACAUGUUCCUCUAUUUGGCAUCUGAGUGAUAUGACUCUUGCCAUGGUCUAGCCCACAGAUGGAAUUGUGAUGUGUUGCUGUACCCAGCACCUAGGUGAUGUAACUCCAUUUUUCUGCCUUGGCAUUGCUCACAAAAGGUAUUUUGACAUAUCUCUGGGGUAUGUACCCAGGUUUCAUGACUCUCUUGCCUGUGCCCUGUCCACAAAUUGUCAUGAAAUAUUGCUGGGUCCAACACCCAGGGAUGUAACUCUCAUGCCUAGGCCCUGCCAACAGGGGGAAUUGUGACAAAUCUGUGUCAAUAACCCAGGUUAUGUGACUCUCUUUUUUUGCCUGGUCCCUGCUCACAGAGGGCAUUAUGACAUAUUGCUGAACUCAGCACCUAACUGAUGUGAUUCUCCUUUCUAGUUUUUGCCCACAGGGGAGAUUGUGACAUAUCACUGGGCCUCAAACUAAGGUGAAGUUACACUUUCAUUUUCGAACUGUACUCAGAAGGCAUCGUGACAUAUUCCUGGGCCCAGCACCAAGGUGAUGUGAGUCUCCUGCCUGCACUUUGCCCACAAAUGGCAUUGUAACAUAUCUUUAGACCUAUCAACUACUUGAUAUGACUUAUUUUUUUAAAGUGAAAGCAAGUUUAUUAGAGAAGUAAAUAAACAAAAGAAUGGCUACUCCAUAGACAGAGAAGACCUCAGGGCUGCUCAUUGGCUCUUUUCAUGGUUAUUUCUUGAGUACAUACUAAACAAGGGAUGGAUUAUUUGUGAGUUUUCCAGGGAAAGGAUGGGCAAUUUCCAGAACUCAGGGUGCCUUCCCUUUUUAGACCAUAUAGGAUACCUUCCUAACAUUGCCAUGACAUUUGUAAAGUGUCAUGGUGCUGUUGGGAGUGUCUUUUAGCAUACUGAUGCAUUACAUUUAGUGUAUAAUGAGCAGUGAGGACUAACAGAGGUCACUUUCAUUGCAGUUUUUCUUUCGGUGGGUUUUUGCUGUCUUUUGUCCUGUAUCCUCUUUUAUCAGCAAGGUGUUUGUGAAUGGUACCUUGUGGUGACCUCUUGUCUUAUCCUGUGACAUAGAAUGCCUGAUCUUCUGAGAGCACAGGAAUUGGGUUAAUUCCUUUCUUUUUGAGGUCUCCAGAUAACUCGGGGCUCUUGGGCCUGGCAGAAAGUGACACUCCUUACUUGCACAGGUCAGGACCCCUGCGCAGGGACUGUGUAGACAAGGAAGAAGGCCAAUUUUCCCAAAGGGCUUCUACUAGCUCUACAAAUCAAGUAUGAUUUCUCAAAGACCAUGAUUCCAGUCAAAGCCUUGGUAAAAUAACCUGUGUCUCCCAUUGUGUCCUGUUGCAAGUGAAAACAUGUUUAUUGUACUUAUGCAAAUAACUAUAUUGCCAUAAAUCAAGAAUAUUCACCAAUAUCUUUGCACAUUCUGGACAAAUCAGGGAAAGAGAAACAAAAUACUCCAAAUUAUGUUUACAGGAGUAUAUGUUACUCAAUUGUUAAAAGCUGUAAAUAACUCAAAAGUGCUCUUGACUCUGAAAAACAAAGGAUCCACAACAUUUUAAGCAAAAAGCCAAAAAAUAUUACUUCCAUCUUUUAUUAGUUCAGUUCAUGCAGUAAACUCUUGUUCUGCUUGAUAUUUAUUAAUAUUUCAGCUUUCCAUGAGAGUCUUGAAAGUUUUUCCCCUGUUCUAAUUUUGCAGUCUUCAAAGUUAUCAGAAAUUUGCAUUUGAAAGCACCCAUCAAUGUUCCAGAGCAGACUAUAAAUUAUCUUUUGAAAAGGAUUAAAACAAGACAACAAUUGUCUGUGGGUGACAAAAAAAGUCCUAGGACAGCCAUUAUUAAAGCCACAGUUAACUAGAAAUAUUGGUUACUCUUGUGGAAUAAACAAUUUUACAUAACAAUUAUAACUAUUAACAACAUACUAUACACUAAGUUAUAUCAGACUUACAGGAGUUUUCCAUAAUUUCAGAACACUCACUAAUGACAUAUUUAUACAAAUACAACCCCAAGAAAGCCAAAUACCAUUUCAUAUUUGACAAUACAUUCUGUAUAAUUUUAUACCAAAUAAAUCGAAUAUAUUAUUUUUGGACUUUAGGUGACCUAAUAUCUAAAAGAUUAAUUAGGUCAGAAAAGAUGAAAUGUAUAAUUUAAUUUUGGAAAGUUUUUCAAAUAACAAAGGUUUAAAAUAUUUUACAUUAUAAAAUCAAAUCCCAGUUCACCCUAUGUCAUUCAUUUAGCCAAAACAGUAACUUUUCUUUUUAAAAUUUUUUUAAAAGCCAAAAACUUUUACUUACUAAUAAAGGAAAGACAUAGCUUUCCAAACAGUCUGUCUCUUGUCUUUCUUCCUGUACUUUAUUCAAAAGACAAACAAAAAUCUUUCAUUUUUUAAAUACAACAUGAAAAUCUGGUUCAAGAGUGGAAGCCUAUAUUUCAC
rnacentral:lncRNA from 1 species